rnacentral:rRNA from 1 species
ACCUGAGCCUAUAAGGUAGUAACCACUUAGACACAAACCCCCUAUUUUGGCGGCAUUUCAUCUAUUUAGAGGAACCUGUCCCUUAAUCGACAACCCACGCUAUCUUUCACUCCUUUAACCCUAAAAUUUACAUACCGUCAUCUUUAAAUAAACCCCAAGGUACAAUUUUUAAUAUUACUCUAAAAAGAUAGAUCAAGGCGUAAUCCAUUAAGGAGAUGUGAUGUGUUACUUUAAACGAAAUUUAAGGAUUCUCAAACCAACCAUUAAGAUUAAAAAGGAUUUAAAAGUAAUUCUCCAAAAAUUAUUUGAUUUUGAACAAGAUUAUUAAUGUGC